rnacentral:rRNA from 1 species
GACGAACGCUGGCGGUGUGCCUAAUACAUGCAAGUCGAACGCAGUGGGGACGGGUGAGUAACACGUGGGUAACCUCCCAUCAGAGGGGAUAACACUUGGAAACAGGUGCUAAACCGAUACUGAUGGAUGGAAACGCGGUGCAUUAGCUAGUUGGGGAGGUAACGGCUCACCAAGGCCACGAUGCAUAGCCGACCGGAGAGUGUGAUCGGCCAAAUGAGGACUGAGACAGGGCCCAGACUCCUCCGGGAGGCAGCAGUAGGGAAUCGUCGGCAAUGGACGAAAGUCUGACCGAGCACCGCCGCGUGAGGGAAGAAGGUUUUCGGAUCGUAAAACUCUGUUGUUAGAGAAGCGGUAUCUAACCAGAAAGCCACGGCGAACUACGUGCCAGCAGCCGCGGUAAUAC